rnacentral:rRNA from 1 species
AGGAUCAUUCACAAACGAGUGUUUUAUGGCACUCUUUAAAAAUCCAUAUCCACCUUGUGUGCAAUGUUUGUUGGGAAAGUCUUUUCUUUCCCUUCAUAAAUAUCAACCUAUAUCUUUAACAACAUUCGUCUGAUAACAUAUUAUGAAUAUACUUAAUUCAAAAUAUAACUUUCAACAACGGAUCUCUUGGCUCUCGCAUCGAUGAAGAACGCAGCGAAAUGCGAUACGUAAUGUGAAUUGCAGAAUUCAGUGAAUCAUCGAAUCUUUGAACGCAUAUUGCGCUCUUUGGUAUUCCGAAGAGCAUGCUUGUUUGAGUAUCAGUAAACACCUCAACCUCCUCUUGAUUUUUCAAAAGGAGGGUGGACUUGAGCUAUCCCAACAACCUUUAUCGGUCGGCGGGCGGCUUGAAAUGCAGGUGCAGCUGGACUUUUAUCUGAGCUAAAAGCAUAUCUAUUUAGUCCUCGUCAAACAGGAUUAUUACUUUUGCUGCAGCUAACAUAAAGGAUAAUUGUCCU